UCAAAACUUUCAACAACGGAUCUCUUGGUUCUGGCAUCGAUGAAGAACGCAGCGAAAUGCGAUAAGUAGUGUGAAUUGCAGAAUUCAGUGAAUCAUCGAAUCUUUGAACGCACAUUGCGCCCCUUGGUAUCCCGAGGGGCAUGCCUGUUCGAGCGUCAUU
rnacentral:rRNA from 1 species